AUAUUUCACUGCUAACCUUUGAGUACAUACAUUGUUCUUAUACAUAUGUUCAUAGAUUUUGGUUUCAAUGUUGAGUUUGAAAUGACAAUGAAGUGUUUAUUUCCUUGCAAUUGCAGUACAGUAAUGUUAAAAAGGAUUUGUAUGCUUCAUAGAAGUACACAGCAGAUUUAUUUGUGUUGUUCAAUUAUUGAGUAAAGACAACAAAUACAACCAAUAAAAACUCCACACUUGAUAUCUUUUUUAUAAUAUUAUUUUACAUUGCAGAGAAUGUUCAUAAAAAUGCCACUGCAUGCAUAGGAAAAUCCAGUUAAAUUUCAGUGAAGUGCACAGAAAUAGAAUUCCUGUGGAGUUCCAGUGGAGCACUGGAAUUCCACUGGUAGUCCAGUGGAAUUCCAGAGGUGUGCUGGAAUUCCAGUGGAGUCCACUGGAUAUCCAGUGGAGUCCACUGGAAUUCCACUGUCAGUGGAAUACCAGUGGAAUACCAGUGGAAUAACUUCAAAAUCCGCUUUCCAGUGGAAUUCCACUGGAAACCAGUGGUAUUCCACUGAUUUUUUUCUAAGGGGGGGGUCUGCAUGACAUUGAUUUUUGACUGUGGCAGUUGUGAUUUUUACAGCACUUAAAAAGAGUGUUGUGAAAAAUUGACCACUGCUUGAAUAUGAAUUUUUUAGUCUCUCAAACCCCGCUCCUGUCUGAACUCUCUGCGACUGGACAUUUUCUUGAAGCCUAACAAACAAAAUUUAAGCUUAAGCAAUGUCCAGUCGCAGA
rnacentral:sRNA from 1 species